GGGCCAAUGGCGCAGUGGUAGCGCGUUCGCUUUGCAUCAUAUGCGAAGCUGCGAAAGGUCUGGGGUUCGAUCCCCCAUUGGUCCA